AUUGAACGCUGGCGGCAGGCUUAACACAUGCAAGUCGAGCGGGGGAAGGUAGCUUGCUACCGGACCUAGCGGCGGACGGGUGAGUAAUGCUUAGGAAUCUGCCUAUUAGUGGGGGACAACAUCUCGAAAGGGAUGCUAAUACCGCAUACGUCCUACGGGAGAAAGCAGGGGAUCUUCGGACCUUGCGCUAAUAGAUGAGCCUAAGUCGGAUUAGCUAGUUGGUGGGGUAAAGGCCUACCAAGGCGACGAUCUGUAGCGGGUCUGAGAGGAUGAUCCGCCACACUGGGACUGAGACACGGCCCAGACUCCUACGGGAGGCAGCAGUGGGGAAUAUUGGACAAUGGGGGGAACCCUGAUCCAGCCAUGCCGCGUGCGUGAAGAAGGCCUUAUGGUUGUAAAGCACUUUAAGCGAGGAGGAGGCUACUUUAGUUAAUACCUAGAGAUAGUGGACGUUACUCGCAGAAUAAGCACCGGCUAACUCUGUGCCAGCAGCCGCGGUAAUACAGAGGGUGCGAGCGUUAAUCGGAUUUACUGGGCGUAAAGCGUGCGUAGGCGGCUUAUUAAGUCGGAUGUGAAAUCCCCGAGCUUAACUUGGGAAUUGCAUUCGAUACUGGUGAGCUAGAGUAUGGGAGAGGAUGGUAGAAUUCCAGGUGUAGCGGUGAAAUGCGUAGAGAUCUGGAGGAAUACCGAUGGCGAAAGCAGCCAUCUGGCCUAAUACUGACGCUGAGUACGAAAGCAUGGGGAGCAAACAGGAUUAGAUACC
rnacentral:rRNA from 1 species